AGAAUCACCUGGGAAGGUCUGAGGUGCCCAUCAUCCGAGAGGGAAAGCACGAGAGUGCUGAAAUGAUCAACAGAAACAAACCAGUGGCUCUUGAAGCCAUAAACUGUGUUGAAAGGGUCAUAAGGCAUGCCACUUAGUACAAUGCGCAAAGACAUUGUUAACUUAAUUCAGACUACUCUGGUCACAUC
rnacentral:RNase_P_RNA from 1 species